GACCCAGUGGUGAAUGGAUCACACCUGUUUUCCUUGUGCCUAGCGAACACGAAUUUCGGCAGGAGCCCUCGGUUCAAUUCCGGGCUGGGUCA